CGCAUCCUCUGCUAUAAUGCAGUCGAGCGAAUGGAUUAAGAGCUUGCUCUUAUGAAGUUAGCGGCGGACGGGUGAGUAACACGUGGGUAACCUGCCCAUAAGACUGGGAUAACUCCGGGAAACCGGGGCUAAUACCGGAUAACAUUUUGCACCGCAUGGUGCGAAAUUCAAAGGCGGCUUCGGCUGUCACUUAUGGAUGGACCCGCGUCGCAUUAGCUAGUUGGUGAGGUAACGGCUCACCAAGGCAACGAUGCGUAGCCGACCUGAGAGGGUGAUCGGCCACACUGGGACUGAGACACGGCCCAGACUCCUACGGGAGGCAGCAGUAGGGAAUCUUCCGCAAUGGACGAAAGUCUGACGGAGCAACGCCGCGUGAGUGAUGAAGGCUUUCGGGUCGUAAAACUCUGUUGUUAGGGAAGAACAAGUGCUAGUUGAAUAAGCUGGCACCUUGACGGUACCUAACCAGAAAGCCACGGCUAACUACGUGCCAGCAGCCGCGGUAAUACGUAGGUGGCAAGCGUUAUCCGGAAUUAUUGGGCGUAAAGCGCGCGCAGGUGGUUUCUUAAGUCUGAUGUGAAAGCCCACGGCUCAACCGUGGAGGGUCAUUGGAAACUGGGAGACUUGAGUGCAGAAGAGGAAAGUGCAAUUCCAUGUGUAGCGGUGAAAUGCGUAGAGAUAUGCAGGCACACCAGUGACGAAGCCGACUCUCUGGUCUGUCUCUGACACUGAGCCGCGAAAUCGCGA
rnacentral:rRNA from 1 species